UUUUUACAGAUCUUCUCCAACUGAGGUCAAGGGGAACAAAAUAUAGCAAUCUAUAAUUGUGCAUCCUCAAAGAGAGUACAUGAGUCUUACGGACUGAGCCUUCUCAGCAAGAGGUUGGUUUGGAGUUUGGAAAUUACAAUGCUGAGAAAUUGUCUGAAGUGGGAAUUUGAAGGCAGAUGCAGGAGCAUGAACUGCCCCACCUGCAGAUCUCUGAGGAAGGUGAGCUCCAGCCCAAGGGCUGUGCUGGAAGGAAACACCAUGUGUGCCCAACCUGACCGCUUACAGAACAGAUGUCUUUCCACUGGUAGUAGCAGAAGCAUUGAGAUCAGUGCAAAGACAGAUUUUUUUGGAAGAUUUUUUUGAUUGUUAUUAGGAGGCUUUUCAGUAAUGGC
rnacentral:lncRNA from 7 species